rnacentral:rRNA from 1 species
AUGUCAGUUGGACACGCGCUCGGAAAUCCUAUCUACACCUCUCGCGCGGGUGACGGGUGUUAUUUGGCCCGACACUCUGCUCUCUCCCUCCAUCCAACCUUAUCUUCUCAGUCGGCUGCCCUCAACCUUGUCUUCCCCGGUCGCCCCCCACGCGUUCUUCUCCACAUACAUGCGCAGAACUCCCACAACGCCCACCCAUCCCCUCCCUCCUUCCCAGCUCUGGAUCCAGAUGGAAUCGAGGCCACAACCGAGCGUCUCCUCAUGGCCUCUUCACGAGCUCCCACUGCCGCCUGGAGCUCAAGCUGCCAGCCGUCCAAGGCCUCGCCAGGAACGGAUCCGCGACACCGUGCCUCGUCCUCGCACAUGCCCGGCCGCGCCAUCGGAGCCCCCCGCAGAGGCAGUGCUCCGCCACCCGAUGCUGUUCUUCGUGUCGCCCCACGCUCCCAAAGCUGGGAACCGGCUCCCCGCCUCCAAGUUCUCGGCAUCGACGUCCCGUGCUGCCUGCACCCUCGCCAAGCCCGACUCGCAGCCGUGGAGCCCGAGCUCGCCAAGGCGCUUCAACUCCGCUGCCGCGCCAUACCUCUCUCUGUCGCUCCGUCCGCCGCCCGUGGUGCCGUGACCCGCCACUGCCGUGCCCUGCAUCGCUCUGUAGCCGCGCCGCCUGGGUCGAUGCGGUCAGCGCUCCCAAGCCGUUGA